rnacentral:rRNA from 1 species
UACAGAGGUCUCAAGCGUUGUUCGGAUUCAUUGGGCGUAAAGGGUGUGUAGGUGGCGCCGUAAGUCGGGUGUGAAAUUUCGGAGCUUAACUCCGAAACUGCAUUCGAUACUGCGGUGCUUGAGGACUGGAGAGGAGACUGGAAUUCAUGGUGUAGCAGUGAAAUGCGUAGAGAUCAUGAGGAAGACCAGUGGCGAAGGCGGUCUGCUGGGCAGUAGCUGACACUGAUGCGCGACAGCGUGGGGAGCAAACAGG